GCGGCAAAAGCUCAAAUUUGAAAUCCCCCGGGAAUUGUAAUUUGAAGAGAUUUGGGUCCGGCCGGCGGGGGUUAAGUCCACUGGAAAGUGGCGCCACAGAGGGUGACAGCCCCGUGAACCCCUUUAACGCCCUCAUCCCAGAUCUCCAAGAGUCGAGUUGUUUGGGAAUGCAGCUCUAAGUGGGUGGUAAAUUCCAUCUAAAGCUAAAUACCGGCGAGAGACCGAUAGCGAACAAGUACAGUGAUGGAAAGAUGAAAAGCACUUUGAAAAGAGAGUGAAAAAGUACGUGAAAUUGUUGAAAGGGAAGGGCUUGCAAGCAGACACUUAACUGGGCCAGCAUCGGGGCGGCGGGAAACAAAACCACCGGGGAAUGUACCUUUCGAGGAUUAUAACCCCGGUCUCUAUUUCCUUGUUGCCCCGAGGCCUGCAUUCUAAGGAUGCUGGCGUAAUGGUUGCAAGUCGCCCGUCUUGA
rnacentral:rRNA from 1 species